UGACACCCAAUUCGUGUCUUCAUACAUGUAUUUUGAAUAAUCAUAUCCAUCACAUUCCACCUUGCUAAUCCCCUUCCUCCUCCCUUUCCCUCCUACCUCUCUUCCCUAUCUAGAAUCCAUCUAAUCCACCCAUGCUCCCCCUCCCUACCCCACUAUGAAUCAGCCUCCUUAUAUCAGAGAAAACAUUUGGCAUUUGUUUUUUGGGGAUUGACUAAUUUCACUUAGCAUUAUCUUUUCCAAUGCCAUCCAUUUACCUGCAAAUGCCAUGGUUUUAUUCUCUUUUAAUGCUGAGUAAAAUUCCAUUGUGUAUAUAUGCCACAACUUUUUUUAUCCAUUCAUCCACUGAAGGGUAUUUAGGUUGGCUCCACAGUUUAGAUAUUGUGAAUUGUGCUGCUGUAAACAUUGAUGUGGCUUUGUCCUGUAGUAUGCUAAAACAUAUAUAUCGUUUGAAUUGGGAAGGGUUUAACGUAAUAUGAAUACACAUUUUAAAAUUUGGGAAUGCAUGGAGAAACCAUAUAUAUAAAUAUAUAAUUAUAUAUGCAAAUAUAUCAUUGAUAAUUAAACUCAUAAGUCAAAAUACACAAAUAUUUAUAAAGACAUAUACUUUUAUGUGAAAUUAGGUUUAGGUAUAGAGUUAGGGUUAAAUAUUAAAUUAAAGGUGAAUUAAGGGAUAGUUUUCGGGAAAUAAUAUGUUCAUCAGGAAACAAAUAUUCAUAAGAGUUUAGGCAAAAAUAUGUAUAAAAACAUAUAAAUAUAUAUGUUUUGAAAUAAGGAAGGAUUUAAAGUGAGCCCUAUAAAUAUAUUUUUUUCUAAUUUGAGGAUGCAUGGAUAAAUCAUAUAUAUGAAUAUAUAAUAUAUAAAAUAUACCAUUGAUAUUUAAAUAUGUGUAUCAGAUACACAUAAAUAUUCAUAUUAAUAUAUAUGCUUUAAUGUUAAAUUAGGUUUAGGUAUGGGGUAAUUAAAUUAGAGUUAGUAUUACAAUUUUUGUUGGAUUAUGGUUAUGAUUAGGGAAUGACUAUGUAUGAUGGGAAACAUGAAUGUUCAUAAAAAUGUACAUCUGAAUAUAUGUAUGAAAUCAUAAAUAUCAUGUAUAUAUAUUUUGACAUAGUCUGGAAGAGUGAAGUGAGACAUAUGAAUACAAUACUUCUAAUUUGGGAAUGCAUGAAUAAAACAUACUUUCAUAAUAUAUUUAGAUGUACAUUUUAAUGAACAUUCAUGUUUCCCAUCAUACAUAGUCAUUCCCUAAUCAGAACUGGGAUUGUGGCUCAGCGGUAGAGCACUUACCUAGCACAUGUGAGGCCCUGGGUUCGAGCCUCAGCACCACAUAAAAAUAAAUAAAUAAAUAAAAUAAAAGAUAUUGUGUCCAACUACAUCUAAAAAAUAAAUAUUAAAAAAUAUUCAUAUUAAUAUAUAUGCUUUAUGUUAAAUUAGGAUUAGGUUAGAAUUAAGGUUAGAGUUGAUUAUUAUUAAAUUUUGGGUUGGGUUAGGGUUAGGGUUAGGAUUUGGGAAGUAUAGUGGCAAAUAUGAAUAUUCAUAAGAAUAUAUGCCUGCAAAUAUGUAUGAAACAUAUUUGUUUUGAAAUAGUGAAAGUUUUAAAGUGAGUCAUAUGAAUGCACAAUUUUUUGAGGGGAAAUGCAUGCAUAAAUGAUACAUAUAAAUAUAUAAUGAUAUAUAUAGAAAUAUACCAUUAAUAAUUAAAUAUAUAAGCCAAAAUACACAUAAAUAUUCAUAUAAAUAUAUAUGCUUUAUGUUUAAUUAGGUUAAUUAUAGAGGUACAGAUAGGGUUAAUAUUAAGUUUUGGGUUAGAAGAGGGUUAGAAUUAAGGAAUGAAUGUGUAUACUGGGAAACAGGAAUAUUCAUAAGAAUGUACAUUUGUAAAUAUGUAUGAAAACAUAUAUAAGUACAUAUGUUUUGAAAUAGGGAAGGGUGUAAAGUGAGUCAUAUGAAUAUAAUUUUUUUUCUAAUCAUGGGAUGUAUGGAUAAAUCAUAUGAAUAUAUAAUGACAUAUACAAAUAUACCAUUGAUAAUUAAAUAUGUAAUCAAAAUAUACAUAAAUAUUAAAUUAAUGUAUAUGCUUUUAUGUUAUGUUAGCUUUAAGUAUCAAACUAAAUUUAGGGUUGGUAACAAAUUUUGGUUUUAGUUGAGGCUAUGGUUAGGAAAUGAAUAUGUAUAUUGGGAAACAUGAAUAUUCAUAAGAAUGUAUGACUGAAAGUAUGUAUGAAAACAUAUAUGUUUUGAAAUAGGGAAUAGUGUGAAGUGACUUGUGCAGGCACACUUUUUAAAUUUGAGGAUGCAUGUAUGAAUUCUCUAUACAAAUAUAUGAAAAUAUACAACUGAUAUUUAAAUAUGUCAAAUACACAUAAAUAUUCAUAUUGCUAUAAUCCUUUUUAUGUUAUAUUUGAUUUAGUUGUUUAAAUUAUUAAAUUUAGAGUUAAUAUUAAAUUUUGUGCAUGGUUGACGUUAGUGCUCGGGAAUGAAUGUGUAUAUUGGGAAACAUGAAUAUUCAUAAAAAUGUACACUUGAAAACCUAUAUGAAAACAUUUAUAAAUAUUUAUGUUUUGAAAUACAGAAUUGUUUAAAGUGUGUUGUAUGAAUAUGCUUCUUUUUAAUGUGGG
rnacentral:lncRNA from 1 species